AUCCAUCUGACAAGUCCUAAAUAGGACGAAGUGACGCUCAUCCUGGAU
rfam:Schistosoma mattheei strain Denwood, Zambia genome assembly, scaffold: SMTD_scaffold0004910